rnacentral:rRNA from 1 species
ACGGGUAAUGGCGUGCCUUUUUGUAGAAUGAACCGGCGAGUUACGGUAGCAAGCGAGGUUAAGGCGGAGAGCCGGAGCCGAAGCGAAAGCGAGUCUGAAGAGGGCGAUAAGUUUGCUGCCGUAGACCCGAAACCGGGUGAUCUACCCAUGUCCAGGGUGAAGCGGGAGUAAAGUCUCGUGGAGGCCCGAACCGACCGACGUUGAAAAGUCGGCGGAUGAGGUGUGGGUAGGGGUGAAAUGCCAAUCGAACCCGGAGAUAGCUGGUUCUCCCCGAAAUAGCUUUAGGGCUAGCCUCAGGGGAUGAGUUAUGGAGGUAGAGCACUGAAUGGGCUAGGGGCCUGAGCAAGGUUACCGAACCUUAUCAAACUGCGAAUGCCAUAACUUGGACCCUGGGAGUCAGACUAUGAGGGAUAAGCUUCAUAGUCGAGAGGGAAACAGCCCAGACCGCCGAUUAAGGUCCCGAAGUACAGGCUAAGUGGGAAAGGAUGUGCAGCUGCACAGACAACCAGGAUGUUGGCUUAGAAGCAGCCAUCAUUUAAAGAGUGCGUAAUAGCUCACUGGUCGAGUGGUUGUGCGCCGAAAAUGUCCGGGGCUAAGCCUGUCACCGAAAUCGCGGCUUAUUCGAGGUUCGAAGUUGGAGGUUCGAGGUUCGAAGCAAGCAGAAAUCCUAAGGUCUAAGCAUAAAGUAAGGACCCGGGAGGAAUGCCAAGAUCGAACAUCAAACUUCUAACAUCGAACUUCGAGUAGGGGUAGGGGAGCGUUCCAUGGGCGGAGAAGGCAUACCGUGAGGAGUGCUGGAGCGCAUGGAAGUGAGAAUGCCGGUAUAAGUAUGCGAAAAGGCAGGUGAGAAUCCUGCCCGCCGAAAACCUGAGGUUUCCUGGGGAAGGCUCGUCCGCCCAGGGUAAGUCGGGACCUAAGCCGAGGCCGAAGAGGCGUAGGUGAUGGACAAUCGGUUGAAAAUCCGAUACCACCAUACAACCGAUAUUACGAAGGGGUGACGCAGGAGGCUAGGGAGAGCCGGUGAUUGGAAGGACCGGUCCAAGCCAGUAGGGAGUGAGGCAGGCAAAUCCGCCUCACGGAAAUCCUGAGAGGUGAAGGGGAGCCCGUAAGGGCGAAGCUUCUGACGCCAAACUGCCGAGAAAAGCCUCUAAGGAGGGGGUAUGGUGCCCGUACCGGAAACCGACACAGGUAGGUGAGGAGAGAAUCCUAAGGCGAGCGAGAGAACCCUCGUUAAGGAACUCGGCAAAAUGACUCCGUAACUUCGGGAGAAGGAGUGCCGCUAGAUGUGAAGGGCUGAGCGCCUGGAGCAUAGAGCGGUCGCAGAGAAGAGGCCCAAGCGACUGUUUACCAAAAACACAGGUCCCUGCCAAAGCGAAAGCUGACGUAUAGGGGCUGACGCCUGCCCGGUGCCGGAAGGUUAAAGGGAAAGGUUAGCUGAGAGGCGAAGCUUUGAACCGAAGCCCCGGUAAACGGCGGCCGUAACUAUAACGGUCCUAAGGUAGCGAAAUUCCUUGUCGGGUAAGUUCCGACCCGCACGAAAGGCGUAACGACUUGGGGCGCUGUCUCAACGAGGGGCUCGGCGAAAUUGUAGUACACGUGAAGAUGCGUGUUACCUGCGACAGGACAGAAAGACCCCGUGGAGCUUUACUGUAGCCUGACAUUGGAUUUUGGUAUUGCAUGUACAGGAUAGGUGGGAGACUGGGAAGCUUAGGCGCCAGCCUAAGUGGAGUCGCUGGUGGGAUACCACCCUUGUGAUAUUGAAGUUCUAACCCGUACACGAGAGCCGGGUAGGGGACAGUGUCAGGUGGGCAGUUUGACUGGGGCGGUCGCCUCCCAAAGAGUAACGGAGGCGCCCAAAGGUUCCCUCAGCGCGAAUGGAAAACGCGCGGAGAGUGCAAAGGCAGAAGGGAGCUUGACUGUGAGACCGACGGGUCGAGCAGGGACGAAAGUCGGGCUUAGUGAUCCGGUGGUACCGAGUGGAAGGGCCAUCGCUCAACGGAUAAAAGCUACCCCGGGGAUAACAGGCUUAUCUCCCCCAAGAGUCCACAUCGACGGGGAGGUUUGGCACCUCGAUGUCGGCUCAUCGCAUCCUGGGGCUGAAGUAGGUCCCAAGGGUUGGGCUGUUCGCCCAUUAAAGCGGUACGCGAGCUGGGUUCAGAACGUCGUGAGACAGUUCGGUCCCUAUCCGUCGCAGGCGGAGGAAAUUUGAGAGGAGCUGUCCCUAGUACGAGAGGACCGGGAUGGACAGACCGCUGGUGUACCAGUUGUUCCGCCAGGAGCAAUCGCUGGGUAGCCAAGUCUGGACGGGAUAAGCGCUGAAAGCAUCUAAGCGCGAAGUCCACCUCAAGAUAAGAUUUCCCACUGGGUAAACCAGGUAAGACCCCUGGAAGAAGACCAGGUAGAUAGGCCGGGAGUGUAAGAGCCGCAAGGCUUUGAGCGGACCGGUACUAAUAGGUCGAGGUCUUAACCU